AGACCUUAACCUGCUAAAUAGCCCGUAUUGCUUUGGCAGUACGCUGGCUUCUUAGAGGGACUAUCCGCUCAAGCGGAUGGAAGUUCGAGGCAAUAACAGGUUAAACUUAUAUCACAGGCCUGUAAUAGUAAGCCUCGGUAAAUAAUUUACUAGUCUAAUACCUUUAUCUCUUUUGGGGAAGCCCCUUAUUAUCGGGAAGAGAGGCGGAGCGUAGGCCCUGCUGUGGUAUAGGCGACACUACCUGGUACGGG
rnacentral:rRNA from 1 species